rnacentral:rRNA from 1 species
GACGAACGCUGGCGGCGUGCCUAAUACAUGCAAGUCGAGCGGAAUGAUGAAGAGGCUUGCUUCUUCUGAUUUUAGCGGCGGACGGGUGAGUAACACGUGGGCAACCUACCUUGUAGAUUGGGAUAACUCCGGGAAACCGGGGCUAAUACCGAAUAAUCCAUUUUGCUUCAUGGCGAGAUGUUGAAAGACGGUUUCGGCUGUCACUACAAGAUGGGCCCGCGCCCCAUUAGCUUGUUGGUGGGGUAACGGCCUACCAAGGCAACGAUGGGUAGCCGGCCUGAGAGGGCGAUCGGCCACACUGGAACUGAGACACGGUCCAGACUCCUACGGGAGGCAGCAGUAGGGAAUCUUCCACAAUGGACGAAAGUCUGAUGGAGCAACGCCGCGUGAGUGAAGAAGGUUUUCGGAUCGUAAAACUCUGUUGUAAGGGAAGAACACGUACGAGAGUAACUGCUCGUACCUUGACGGUACCUUAUUAGAAAGCCACGGCUAACUACGUG